rnacentral:rRNA from 1 species
UACGAGUGCCUCGAGCGUUAUCCGGAAUCAUUGGGCGUAAAGGGUGUGUAGGUGGUCUACUUAGUCUUCUGUUAAAACUCCCGGCUUAACCGGGAAGGUGCAGGGGAAACGGGUAGACUAGAAUAUGCGAGGGGUCUGUGGAACUUAUGGUGUAGCGGUGAAAUGCGUUGAUAUCAUGGGGAACACCAAAAGCGAAGGCAGCAGACUGGAGCAUUAUUGAGACUGAAACACGAAAGCGUGGGUAGCGAAUGGUAUUAGAAACCCGAGUAGUCC